rnacentral:rRNA from 1 species
GACGUAGGUGGCGAACGUUAUCCGGAAUUAUUGGGCGUAAAGGGUGCGUAGAUGGCCUGACAAGUUAGCAGUGGGAAAUCGAGGCUCAACCUCGUGGAAACUGAUAAUACUGUCUGGCUCGAGUACAGGAGAGGUUAACGGAACUCCAUGUGGAGCGGUAAAAUGUGUAGAUAUAUGGAAGAACACCAAUAACGGCGAAGGCAGUUAACUAUUCUGUUACUGACAUUGAGGCACGAAAGCGUGGGGAGCAAAACGG